GCGCUCACUUUGGCGGCACAUAUACUAAAAUUGGAAAGAUACAGAGAAGAUUAGCAUGGUCCCUGCACAAGGAUGACACGCAAAUUCGUGGAGCGUUCCAUAUUUUU